AUACGGAGGGGGCAAGCGUUGUUCGGAAUUACUGGGCGUAAAGGGUGCGUAGGUGGCAUCGUAUGUCGGGUGUGAAAUCCCACGGCUCAACCGUGGAACUGCAUUCGAAACUGCGGAGCUAGAGUACAGGAGGGGAGAGCGGAAUUCUUGGUGUAGCGGUGAAAUGCGUUGAUAUCAAGAAGAACACCGGUGGCGAAGGCGGCUCUCUGGAAUGUUACUGACACUGAUGCACGAAAGCUGGGGGAGCGAACAGGAUUAGAUACCCCGGUAGUCC
rnacentral:rRNA from 1 species